AUUAGCAUCAUAAAUAAGAAGCUUGGAAAGAACUCUAUUGAAAUAACAAGGGUGAUGAUCUUGGAUUUGUUCUUGUAAUAAAUCCUACUAGUUUUAAGGUAUCAGAUUCUGAUUGGGGCAUGCAUAUUGGUAUGUUAAACAAAGAGUGAAUGUUAAUCGUUUAGUAGUGUUUACAGCUUCUACAAGCUCCAACAAAUCUACAGUAAGAUUUCUUUUGAAGGUUGAUGUAAAUAGCUUUUGCAGGAUAACAGACUAGCAGUUCAAGCAUGCUAAUCAAUCUGAUAGGAAAGACAUGCUUGGUGGUCUAAAUAUAGGUGUAAAUGUGUGUGAUUUAUC
rnacentral:lncRNA from 1 species